CUUCUAUUGAAAGGUUCCAGAGUAGGCGCUACAACGCCGAAAUGACCUUCUCACCCUUGUGUACUCACUAUGUUGCUUUGGCGGGUCGACCUGGUUCCGACCCAGGCGGCCGGCGCCCCCAGCCUUAACUGGCCAGGACGCCCGGCUAAGUGCCCGCCAGUAUACAAAACUCAAGAAUUCAUUUUGUGAAGUCCUGAUAUAUCAUUUAAUUGAUUAAAACUUUCAACAACGGAUCUCUUGGUUCUGGCAUCGAUGAAGAACGCAGCGAAAUGCGAUAAGUAAUGUGAAUUGCAGAAUUCAGUGAAUCAUCGAAUCUUUGAACGCACAUUGCGCCCUCUGGUAUUCCGGAGGGCAUGCCUGUUCGAGCGUCAUUUCAACCCUCAAGCUCUGCUUGGUAUUGGGCAACGUCCGCUGCCGGACGUGCCUUGAAGACCUCGGCGACGGCGUCCUAGCCUCGAGCGUAGUAGUAAAAUAUCUCGCUUUGGAGUGCUGGGCGACGGCCGCCGGACAAUCGACCUUCGGUCU
rnacentral:rRNA from 1 species